ACUGAGAGUUCUCAGAAGUAUAUUGUUUCGGGUUGCGGCCUGUUUGAGGUGAGUAUUUUAUUUUAACUCAGUGGAGGCACUAGUUGCGUUAAUUAUUUGUGAUAGCUACACGCUAUAAGUGUGCAUAUAUGUGAGGUUUGAGCCCAUGCACGUGCAUUGGAGCAAGUAUUCAUACUCGGAAGAAUGCUUAGGCUAUUAUAUGCCUAGAGUUGACUGUUAAGCAUAAAGUUAUAACGUUUCCCGUAUUCGUACCUUUGUUGAGAACUAUCUGGGCUAUACUAAAAGUUACAAAGAAGAUGAUUCCCUAAAUAAAUGGGGUAGUUACUAAUUCUACGUAAAAUUGCCGAUUUGAAGUGUGAUAGCAAACUUUGCGCAUGCUAUUUAUACCAGUCCAGGAGCAUGAAAAUCUUAUUUCAUUAUCAUAUACAAAUGUACUUGUUUAAUUGCUCAUGUAUGAUAUGCUGGGAUUGGAGGCCUGUGACCAUGCCAGGCGAUUCAUAUUAUUGGCACGUGAGUUGUCCGUGCCGUGUGAGGGAGUUCUAUUCCUAUGAUAAUUUAUCUAAUUUAUUAAUUUCCUACCUCUACAAUUGUGCACAUGUGCCUACAGUUAUCCUCUUCACGCAAUUUGAGGAGUUGGUUGUAACAUUGUGGUUAUGGUGGUGCUUGUUGAACUUGCAAUAUGGUUCCCUUCCUUGAGGCAUCUCCCAUAUUUGGGUACACGGAUUGCGUAGUGGUGGCUGGAGUUAUAUUGAUGUGGCGUGUCUGUGAUAUAGUUGUGUUUAAUAAUAUAAGGCCAUUGGACCUAGAAUGGGUACUAUCAGGUUUGAUUAUGGUAUAUUCGAGAGGAUUAUGGUUCUGGUUGGGGCGAAAGAGCUCCAUGGCUAGUUGAUAUGAUUAGUGGUUAUGAGUUUUUGAUUGAUUCUUUCAUCAUUGGCAGUUGACGAAGGUUUUGGAAUGAGGUUCUGUUGAAUGCGGGGUUUUAUACUAGUACUUGGUUGGUUUUGAGUAGUUACUGUGAUCAAAAAUGGUGUUAUAAGUACUAUCAGGCUUGAUUAUUGUUUUGAGUAGUUACUGUAAUAAUAUAAGGCCAUUGGACCUAGAAUGGGUACUAUCAAGCUUGAUUAUGGUUCUGGUUGGGGCGAGAGAGCUCCAUGGCUAGUUGAUCUGAUUAGUGGUUAUGAGUUUUUGAUUGUUUCUUUCAUCAUUGGCAGUGUACGAAGGUUUUGGAAUGAGGUUCUGUUGAAUGCAGGGUUUUAUACUAGUACUUGGUUGGUUUUUAGUAGUUACUGUGAUCAGAAAUGGUGUUUUGAGUAUGCGAUUAUACGAUUGUGUAUGGGAUUGUGUAGUAUGUUAUACGAUUGUAUCUGGGAUUAUGGUUAUGGCUGGGUACAGCUUGUUCAGGCUUAUACAAUGUGUAGAUGUGAGAUUCGGGUCUUGAAAAGAAUUCUGGAUGUUAGAAAUUUGGCUCCAAGGUUUUUGGGCUAAGGUUAAAUUAAUGAUUUUUAGUUAUGUUGUGUGGUCAGGCCUAUAUAGAAUAAGGUGACGUGGGAUCACCCCAGGUAUGUGCAUGGUAAGGAGGAACAAUUAUUUAAAGGCUUAGGAACAACUCUCAGCACAUUCGAGGACGAACGUAUGUUUAACUGGGGGAGAUUAUAACGACCCGACCGGUCGUUUUGAGCAUUUACGCUCCUUCCAACUAUUUGAAGUCUUGAAUAACUUCCUACGAGGUAUUAUGACUUGUUUGAAUUGUUGGUUUUGGUUUUAAGAUAUUUCAAAGUUAGCUUGAAAGAAUAAAUUUUCAUGUUGGAAGCUUAAGUUGAAAUAGUUGACCGGAUAUUGACUUAUGUAUUAACGACCUCGAAAUUUAAUUUUGAUGAUUUUAAUAGCUCCGUAUGGUGAUUUUGGACUUAGGAGCAUGCACGAAAAAUUAUUUGGAGGUUUGUAGUGGAAUUAGGCUUGAAAUGCCGAAAGUUGAAUUUUGGUAUUGGCUUUGGGCCUUUCCUGCGCAGCUUGGGUGGAAGGCGAAGAAGGCCUCCUUCCGGGGGGCCCGAACCAUCAGUGAGAUACCACUCUGGAAGGGCUAGAAUUCUAACCUUGUGUCAGGACCUACGGGCCAAGGGACAGUCUCAGGUAGACAGUUUCUAUGGGGCGUAGUCCUCCCAAAAGGUAACGGAGGCAUGAAAAGGCAGAAGAGAGCUUGACUGCAAGACCCACCCGUCGAGCAGGGAUGAAAGUCGGCCUUAGUGAUCCGACGAUGUCGAGUGGAAGGGCUAUCGCUUAACGGAUAAAGGUUACUCUAGGGAUAACAGGCUGAUCUUCCCCAAGAGCUCACAUCGACAGGAAGGUUUGGCACCUCGAUGUCAGCUCUUCUCCACCUGGGGUUGUAGUAUGUUCCAAGGGUUGGGCUGUUCGCCCAUUAAAGCGGUGCGUGAGCUGGGUUUAGAACGUCGUUGAGACAGUUCGGUCCAUAUCCGGUGUGGGCGUUAGAGCAUUGAGAGGACCUUUCCCUAGUACGAGAGGACCGGGAAGGACGCACCUCUGGUGUACCAGUUAUCGUGCCCACGGUAAACGCUGGGUAGCCAAGUGUAGAGCGGAUAACUUCUGAAAGCAUCUAAGUAGUAAGCCCACCCCAAGAUGAGUGUUCUCCUAUUCCGACUUCCCCAGAGCCUCCGGUAGCACAGCCGAGACAGCGACGGGUUCUCUGCCCCUGCGGGGAUGGAGCGACAGAAGUUUUUUUGAGAAUUCAAGAGAAGGUCACGGCGAGACGAGCCGUUUAUCAUUACGAUAGGUGUCAAGUGGAAGUGCAGUGAUGUAUGCAGCUGAGGCAUCCUAACAGACCGGUAGACUUGAAC
rnacentral:rRNA from 1 species